rnacentral:rRNA from 1 species
UUGAACUGAAGAGUUUGAUCCUGGCUCAGAUUGAACGCUGGCGGCAUGCCUAACACAUGCAAGUCGAACGGCAGCACGGGGGAGCUUGCUCCCUGGGUGGCGAGUGGCGGACGGGUGAGUAACGCAUGAGAAUCUGCCUGGCAGAGGGGGAUAACCCGGGGAAACUCGGGCUAAUACCGCAUACGCCC